GGGCACUAACUGCCGUGUGUCUCCAAUGAGCUUCGUGGCAGGAGGCCCUGCACCUCAGAUCAGGGCCGGUGGGCAGCCGAGCUGGGGACUCAACCAAUAUGUCAGGGCUCCCACAUGACAGGCUGGGGAGGGGCCGGGGCAGAACCCCCCCCCCCGCCCCCCGGAGGACACGCUUUCUAAGCCAUGUGCAUUUGUGGUGAGCCUUCCUGCCAGCCGGCCUGUGCUGUCACACGGCCACUCCUCUUCUUUAACCAGUGAGGGCACUGGCCCCAGGUCACACAGCCAGUGGGUGUCAGCGCCUGUCCUAAGCCAAGCACAUCUGACUCCAAAGCCAGUGCUCCAUGCCUCCAUGUCACACUGUGCCCCGCCUGGCAAAGAGCCAGAGGGGAGCAUGGGGAGGAGGGGGGAGCCCUUGCCUGCUACCGGAGGAAGUGCCAGGCGACUCGGGUCCAGGGCCACCCUUGACUUCUCCAUCUUGCCCAGCCGCCCAUUCUGGGACCCGCCGUUCUCCCCAUCCUCUUCCUGCAGCUUCCCCAGUGCCCUGGGGGACCUCAGCCACCCACCGCUGAGGGCCCCCCUCCCAGAAGCCAGGGCCUGCUACAGGGCCAGCGGGCAGGCAGGCGGGCAGGCUCCACGUCCUCCUGAGUCACGGGCAGGUGGGGGUCCCACCCAGCUUGGAAAGAGGGGAAGACAGGGUCCCAUCACCAGCCCUAAGCAAGGGAGCAAGGCUUGGGCACCCAAGAUGCAGCUUCUCCAGCUGCAAAGGGCUUGUGGGUGGCGGGGUUUUGAAAACCUCCCCCGCUGUUGCUCUGACCCCAUCUGUAAGGCUCCCCUCUCCACUCCUGCAAGUGAGUAAAAGCCCAUCCUGGGAGUUCCCGUCAUGGCGCAGCUGCAACGAAUCUCACUAGCAUCCAUGAGGACACAGGCUCAAUCCCUGGCCUUGCUCAGUGGACUCAGGAUGCAGCAUUGCUGUGAGCUGUGCUGUAAGUCACAGACACAGCUCGGAUCUGGUGUUGCUGUGACUGUGGUGUAGGCCAGCUGCUAUAGCUCUGAUUCAACUCCUAGCCUGGGAACCUCCAUAUGCCACAGGUGUGGCCCUAAAAUGACAAAAAAGAAAAAAGCCCGGCCUGUUUUCAGUUUUCUGUCUUUGUGGAGCGGGGCCGAGCUCAGGCUCUGGGGGCCUGGGGUGGAGGCGCCUUUGGCCUGGGACACCUCCCCCUGUGGCCAGACAGGAGACUGAAUGGGGGCAUCCUGGUCAGAUUGGGAGGCGUUGGGAGGCAAAAGAGGGACCCCAAAAUCUAGGAGCUCCCCAGAGCAGGCAAUGAGUCUUUAUUACUUGCUCCGCUAUGUCCGGGAUCGGACUCAGAGAAAGUGCUCUUGAAUGAAUGAAUAAAUGAACAAAUGUUGGUUAAUAUCAUUCCAGGAAGAGGGGACAGUAGGAAGGAAGGCUCAGAAAUGGAACAAUCUGAGCAGCGACAAAGAUAAAAUAAUAGUACUGGGAGUUCCCUUUGUGGUUCAGCGGGUAAUGAACCCAACUAGCCGCCAUGAGGAUGCAGGUUUGAUUCCUGGCCUUGCUCAGUGGGUUAACAGCCUGGUGUUGCCACAAGCUGCAAUGUAGGGAUCCCGAGUUGCUGUGGCUGUGGCGUAGGCUAGCGGCUACAGCUCCAAUUCAACCCCAGCCUAGGAAUUCCUGUAUGCCACAAGUGCAGCCCUAAAAAGCCACAAAAAAACCCCGAAGUUCCCACUGUGGGACAACGGGGUCAGUUGUGUCCCGUGCCUUGGGAGCACUAGGUCACGGGUUUGAUCUCCAGCCCAGCACAGUGGCUUAAGGAUCUGGCAGCAUUGCUGCAGGUACAGCUUCGGUCAAAACUUUGGCUCCGACUUGAUCCCUGGCCGGGGAACUCCUUACAGCAGAGCGGCCAACAGAGGAAAGAAAAUAGCAAAAUAACCAUCCUGAUAUGUGCUUCUUUUGUACCUGGCUCUAUGCUCAGGGGUCUGCAAGAAGCACCUCUCUGCACCCUCGAGGCAGCUCGCAGCAGUGGGUGGGUGAUUAACAGAGAUACCUCACUGUCCAGGAAGAGGCCACGGAGGGUCGAGGCCAUGGCCGGGCGCACAGCUAGGCGGUGCCAGCUCUAGGCCUCAGUGCUACCAGCCAACAGCUUCCCAGAAACCUCUCCACUCUGCUGACCCCCAGAGAGGGGCCGUGCUGAGUGCGUUCCUGGGCUUUGGCCUGGGCACCGGGACCGCCCCUCUUCAGAAGCUGCUCUCAUUGCCGCCCCCUCGGCCCCUUCUUCCUCAGAGCUACACCCCGACGGUGUUCGAGCGGCUGGGCGUGAAUCUGCAGAUGAAGGGCGGACCCGUGCACCUCCAAAUCUGGGACACGGCAGGACAAGUCGACUACGACCGCCUGCGGCCUCUGUUCUACCCUGACGCCAGCGUCCUGCUCCUCUGCUUCGACGUCACCAGCCCACACAGCUUUGACAACAUCUCUAACCGGGUAGGCGCUGGGGAGGGAGGGGCAGGGGGGCACAGCCCCCUGGCCAGGCCACUCUGCUCCCCGCCUGCCCUGGACCCGGCAGACUCUCAGAGGCUCACCUCGCAUCCAGUGCCUGUGGCGUCUAAAUGGGGACACUGGGCCCAGAGCGACUUACUCAGAGUCCCAUGGGGAUUUGGUGGCAGGGCCUGGACUGGGCUUCUGACUCCCCCGUCCAGUGGUCCUUGUCUGCCCCAUACUACAGACCCCGAACGCAGUGGCUCUUUCUACUGUGACCCUGCCUUAGAAUGCUGGGGGACCCAGAGGCCCCUCCGUCUCCCCAGCCCAGGCCUGCCCAGGAUCACAUGAUCCAUCAGCCUCCAGCAGCGUGACUGCUGGCUCCCAGCGACCUCCCAGGAGAUCUGCCAAUUAUGUCAGAGGUGCCCGAGGCUGCUCACAGGUGUCCCUGGAGUCCCUCUCUCCUGCCCAUAGCCUCAGCCUGCCCCAGCCGCUGCCAGGGCCUCCAUGUGCACGCGAACCCUGUGCUCCAGGCUUCCUUGGGGCAUGGCUGGUAACAGCGUUAGUAGCAGUAGCCACGCGGUGAUGGAGUAUUUAUGGAGAACAUACUGUGUACCAGGUACGGUUCUGGGCACUUACCACUUACGUUAAUCUUCUAACCUAAAAGCAUUGCGGACGAGUUCCCUGGUGGCUCAGCGGGUUAAGGAUCCGGUGCUGAGGAAUGAAGACCAGGUUUCAGAGGGCGUGAUCACUGAUGUCAGGGCUCAGGCCGGGGAGGGCUGAGGGUUCCCUGUUGGGACUGGCAAGGGGGAGUCAGGAAGGAGCCCCUUUCCAAGGGCAGUUUUGUGCAGGAAAGCAUCUGCCUGGAACCUCGCACAGCCCCCUCUGGCUCCAGAAGCCAGACAGUUUGAUGCCAGUUUUUUCUGAAACAGAGCAGGUGAGCCCUCCUGGAGAUAUAAAGACUGGAUUCCAGGCUCCCGAGUUAUGGCCCAGACCGAAACACCAGGCCCUGGAGCCUCACAUUCCAAAGAGCAGCUGACACAGGAUAGCAGCGCUCCCCAGCAGGCUAACAGCUGCUGUCGCUGUUUUGUGAGCCGCUUCAUUUUUAUUCAUUUAUUUAUUUUAAUUAAUUUAAAUUUUUUUGGGGGGGUGUCUUUUUAGGGCUGUGCCUGCAGCAUAGGGAAGUUCCCAGGCUAGGGGUCGAAUGGGAACUGCAGCUGUUGGGCUCACCACAGCCACAGCGACGCAAGAUCCCAGCCAUGUCUGAGACCCAUACCACAGCUCACAGCAGCACCGGAUCCUUAACCCACUGAGCAAGCCCAGGGAUUGAACCCACGUCCUCAUGGAUACUAGUCGGGUCUGUUACCACCGAGUUACAAUGGGAAU
rnacentral:lncRNA from 1 species